rnacentral:lncRNA from 1 species
CACCACUACUAACUACCACUAAUACAUCACAACCUGCACAUAUUCUUCGAUCGCCACCACCAUUAUCACUAGUAACACAACUUCUACCAUCGAUACAAUUUAUCUAGCAACCAUCUCCACCAUCACAACUAACAACAUCUCCAACUAGCACCAACAAAUCGUCAACCAUCAUGCAUUCAUUUUUCAGCCAUCACAAUCAACA